rnacentral:rRNA from 1 species
GUAUAGAACCUACCUUUUACUGGAGAAUAGCCCAGAGAAAUUUGGAUUAAUGCUCCAUAGUAUCAUUUUUUUGGCAUCAUUAGAUGAUUAAAGAUUUAUCGGUAAAAGAUGGCUAUGCGUUCUAUUAGCUAGUUGGUAUGGUAACGGCAUACCAAGGCGACGAUAGAUAGGGGUCCUGAGAGGGAGAUCCCCCACACUGGUACUGAGACACGGACCAGACUCCUACGGGAGGCAGCAGUGAGGAAUAUUGGACAAUGGAGGCAACUCUGAUCCAGCCAUGCCGCGUGUAGGAAGACUGCCCUAUGGGUUGUAAACUACUUUUAUAGAGGAAGAAACCGCUCUACGUGUAGAGCUCUGACGGUACUCUACGAAUAAGGAUCGGCUAACUCCGUGCCAGCAGCCGCGGUAAUACGGAGGAUCCAAGCGUUAUCCGGAAUCAUUGGGUUUAAAGGGUCCGUAGCGGGUUUGUAAGUCAGUGGUGAAAGUUUUCGGCUCAACCGGAAAAUUGCCAUUGAUACUGCAAGUCUUGAAUCGUUGUGAAGUGGUUAGAAUGUGUAGUGUAGCGGUGAAAUGCAUAGAUAUUACACAGAAUACCGAUUGCGAAG